rnacentral:rRNA from 1 species
GACGGGGGGGGCAAGUGUUCUUCGGAAUGACUGGGCGUAAAGGGCACGUAGGCGGUGAAUCGGGUUGAAAGUGAAAGUCGCCAAAAAGUGGCGGAAUGCUCUCGAAACCAAUUCACUUGAGUGAGACAGAGGAGAGUGGAAUUUCGUGUGUAGGGGUGAAAUCCGAUAAAUAUACGAAGGAACGCCAAAAGCGAAGGACAGCUCGUCUGGGUCCCUACCCGACGC